UAUUUUCUACCACAGACGUGGUCAAACAUUUACAAUUCUAACAAUUACAAUUAUCCGGAAGGAUGAGGUGUAAAUAUUGUGACACCCAGCAGGAUGAGGUGUAAAUAUUGUGACACCCAGCAGGAUGAGGUGUAAAUAUUGUGACACCCAGCAGGAUGAGGUGUAAAUAUUGUGACACCCACCAGGAUGAGGUGUAAAUAUUGUGACACCCACCAGGAUGAGGUGUAAAUAUUGUGACACCCAGCAGGAUGAGGUGUAAAUAUUGUGACACCCACCAGGAUGAGGUGUAAAUAUUGUGACACCCGCCAGGAUGAGGUGUAAAUAUUGUGACACCCGCCAGGAUGAGGUGUAAAUA